AGUGAACGCUGGCGGUAGGCCUAACACAUGCAAGUCGAACGGCAGCACAGUAAGAGCUUGCUCUUACGGGUGGCGAGUGGCGGACGGGUGAGGAAUACAUCGGAAUCUACUUUUUCGUGGGGGAUAACGUAGGGAAACUUACGCUAAUACCGCAUACGACCUACGGGUGAAAGCAGGGGAUCUUCGGACCUUGCGCGAUUGAAUGAGCCGAUGUCGGAUUAGCUAGUUGGCGGGGUAAAGGCCCACCAAGGCGACGAUCCGUAGCUGGUCUGAGAGGAGGAUCAGCCACACUGGAACUGGGACAGGGACCAGGCUCCUACGAGAGGCAGCAGUGGGGAAUAUUGGACAAUGGGCGCAAGCCUGAUCCAGCCAUACCGCGUGGGUGAAGAAGGCCUUGGGGUUGUAAAGACCUUUUGUUGGGAAAGAAAAGCAGCAGGUUAAUACCCCGCUGUUCUGACGGUACCCAAAGAAUAAGCACCGGCUAACUUCGUG
rnacentral:rRNA from 1 species